GCUGGGCGGGGUGGUGCGUGCCUGUAGUCCCAGCUUCUCAGGAGGCUGAGGUGGGAGGAUCGCUUGAGCCCAGGAGUUCUGGGCUGCAGUGUGCUAUGCCGAUCCGGUGUCCACACUAAGUUCAGCAUCAAUAUGGUGACCUCCCAGGAGCGGGGGCCCACCAGGUCGCCUAAGGAGGGUGAACCGUCCCAGGUCGAAAACGGAGUCGGUGAAAACUCCAGUGCUGAUCAGUAGUGGGAUCACACCUGUGAAUAGCCACUGCACUCCAGCCUGGGCAACACAGCAAGACCCCGUUUCU
rnacentral:SRP_RNA from 1 species